UUAUGUUGUUCGGUUGCACUUGCUCAUCUACAACUACAGCCAUUGUGUCUGUUUCUGUCUGUGUUCUGAGUUGGCAUGCAAUACGGUCGAUGUUAUCGUUGAACAAGAGAUUCUGAUUUCCUCGUGACCGUGUUUGCAUACAACGAGUACCAACUGGUGAAGCUGGUGAUUCGUAGUACCUGAAUCAAAAUAGACAAACAGAAAAAACACAAAGUUAGUAACUUUCAGAAAAAUUGAAAAAGAACUUGAUCUUAAGUAUUCCGAAAUCUCAAAUAUAGCAAACAAACACCCAAUUGGCAACGGCGCCAAAUUGAUAAUAGGUUUUUAGUCAAUUAUCCUAAAACACCAAUCAUGUCAUUGUAGUUGAUAGUAGGAUUUUACUCAAUUAAUCCCUAAAACACUAUCUUGUCGUUGUAUUAUUUUAGGAUGUCAAUCCAAUCCGGUGUGAUGCAAACAGAUGAGAUAUGAUCAGAAAGCUCUAAGUCAAGCCAAACAGAAAGUUGGUUGGUUCUAACAGUCCUAGUAUGCAAUAACAGAAAUGAAAUGAAACUAAAAGCAGGAAUGGCAAUAGCAGGCAAGUGAAUGACAAAGCAUAAAUGAUAACAGGCAAUCAAAUGGAUAAACGAUUCCUAAGGAU
rnacentral:sRNA from 1 species